CUUCGCAAGUUUAUAAUGAUAGGAGUUUAUGAACAGAUAUAAUAUCCUUGUCCUUUGUUCUUUGGUGGAUAGAUGUCUCAUUGACAAUCAUACCACAUCAAUGAUCUUUUUAAAAAAAACAAAAACAUAACGACGACACAGCCAAACGAAAAAAAAAAUUGAUCAGAAAAAUACCAGCCCACUAAACCUUGAGUCAAAUAAUAAAAACUGACAUCUCAUUAUGAA
rnacentral:lncRNA from 1 species